AAUGGAAUAGCUGGGUCAGAUGGUGAUUCCAUUCCAAGUUUUCUGAGGAAUCUCCAUACUGCUUUCCAAAAUGGUUGCACCAAUUUGCAAUCCCAUGCCCU
rnacentral:pre_miRNA from 1 species